rnacentral:rRNA from 1 species
UACGGAGAGUGCAGGCGUUGUUCGGAAUUAUUGGGCGUAAAGCGCGUGUAGGUGGCUCAACAAGUCUGGCGUGAAAGCCCGGAGCUCAACUCCGGAAGUGCGCUGGAAACUGUCGAGCUUGAGUACCGGAGGGGAAAGCGGAAUUCACGAGUGUAGAGGUGAAAUUCGUAGAUAUUCGGAAGAACAUCAGUGGCGAAGGCGGCUUUCUGGACGGAUACUGACACUGAGACGCGAAAGCGUGGGGAGCAAACAGG